GAUAAACGCUGGCGGUGUGCUUUAUGCAUGCAAGUCGAACGAGUCAUUUCGGUGAUUAGUGGCAAACGGGUGAGUAACACGUAAGUAACCUGCCCUUAAGUGGGGAAUAACUCUGAGAAAUCGGAGCUAAUACCGCAUGUGGUGAUGGGGGUAAAGCUCCAUCAUUAAAGUCUUCGGGUGCUUGAGGAGGGGCUUGCGUCCGAUUAGCUAGUUGGUGAGGUAACGGCCUACCAAGGCAACUAUCGGUAGCUGGUUUGAGAGGACAAUCAGCCACACUGGGAUUGAGACACGGCCCAGACUCCUACGGGAGGCAGCAGCAAGGAAUAUUGGGCAAUGGGCGAAAGCCUGACCCAGCGACACCGCGUGGGGGAAGAAGGCCUUCGGGUUGUAAACCCCUUUUCCAGGGAAGAAUAAUGACGGUACCUGGGGAAUAAGCCUCGGCUAACUACGUGCCAGCAGCCGCGCUAAUACGUAGGAGGCAAGCGUUAUCCGGAUUUACUGGGCGUAAAGAGGACGUAGGCGGCCUUUCAAGUCGGAUGUGAAAUCUCCCGGCUAAACUGGGAGGGUGCAUUCGAUACUGAUGGGCUAGAGUGCAGCAGAGGGAAGUGGAAUUCCCGGUGUAGUGGUGAAAUGCGUAGAUAUCGGGAAGAAUACUAGUGGCGAAGGCGGCUUCCUGGGCUGUUACUGACGCUGAGGUCCGAAGGCGUGGGGAGCGAACAGGAUUAGAUACCCUGGUAGUCCACGCAGUAAACGAUGGACACUAGGUAUAGGGGGUAUCGACCCCCUCUGUGCCGAAGCUAACGCUUUAGGUGUCCCGCCUGGGGAGUACGGUCGCAAGACUAAAACUCAAAGGAAUUGACGG
rnacentral:rRNA from 1 species